rnacentral:rRNA from 1 species
UACGUAGGGACCAAGCGUUGUUCGGAUUUACUGGGCGUAAAGGGCCAGUAGGCGGCCAACUAAGUCCGACGUGAAAUCCCCAGGCUUAACCUGGGAACUGCGUCGGAUACUGGAUGGCUUGAAUUCGGGAGAGGGAUGCAGAAUUCCAGGUGUAGCGGUGAAAUGCGUAGAUAUCUGGAGGAAUACCGGUGGCGAAGGCGGCAUCCUGGACCGACAUUGACGCUGAGCGGCGAAAGCUAGGGGAGCAAACGGG